rnacentral:rRNA from 1 species
ACGGCCAUAUCAUGUUGAAAACACCAGUUCUCGUCCGAUCACUGAAGUUAAGCAACAUUGAGCUCGGUUAGUACUUGGAUGGGUGACCGCCUGGGAACACCGAGUGCUGUUGUCAUUU